GACAGAGGUGCCAAGCGUUAGGCGGAAUCACUGGGCUUAAAGCGUGUGUAGGCGGCCCGUUAAGUACCUUGUGAAAUCCCACGGCUCAACCGUGGAACUGCUGGGUAUACUGGCGGGCUUGGGCCACUCAGGGGCAGACGGAACAGGCGGUGGAGCGGUGAAAUGCGUAGAUAUCGCCUGGAACGCCGAAGGUGAAAACAGUCUGACUGGGGGUGUGCCGACGGCUGAGACACGAAAGCCAGGGGAGCGAAGGGG
rnacentral:rRNA from 1 species